GUGUGAGGUGGUGCUAUGUAGCAGGAACCCCUCUUGCUUUGCAAAUAGUUUUUUGUUUGUUUUCCUUUUUGCCCAAUAGAGCCCUGCUCUACUGACCCUUCAAUGUGCCCGUGUGCCUAAAUAUUCCUGGUCGUGUGAAAAGAACCCAGGUAUUAGCUGAACUAAGGAGCACAAUUCUGCAACAUUUUGGCACCCAAACACGGGGCUUGAGAAAUGAAUGCAAUUGGAGAAACUGGUUGUUUUACCAGGCGUUGAUUGGAAAUGUGUGCUUCCCUUUAAGCAGUCAAGCUCAACUUGCAGAACUGAUGGGAACCCCUUGGGAAAACUGGCCUCAAAUGUUUGUCUACACAGUCCACAUACAGGGUUCUUAACCUGCGACUGACCCUGCUUGUGCCUGUGAACCAACCAACAAUCUCUGGCUGCAGCUCAGAAAGGACAAAAGAGAAUGGAUGAGGGAAACUUCCCAGGGCUUGUCUGGGUAUGCCCACAGUGGACUGGAGCCCAAAAUGCACACUGGAGGAAGUGGAUGGAGCCACGUGGAUGUCAUGCCUUAUGCAGGGGAGGAGCCUGCUCUCUUCAGCUCCUGUGGUAAUGUGGGAAUCGAUCUGUGAGGAAACACUUUCUGAAAAUGUCAGAACUCUUGAAAACAUGGAUGAGGAAAAGCAUAAGUACUGCUUUAUGCUUUUCUUAUGAAUUUUAAAAGAUGUAAUUUAAAGAUUGAAACUCCCACAACUUUGGCAGACCAACUCCUCAGAAAACAUUAUUCUUUGACAUCAAUAUGUUUUGCACAAAAUUGAAUGGCAAGUGAAAGGCAUCAAAUGCAUAUUUAACUAUCCGGCUAUUUUGGAGAUUGAAAAAAGAAGACCUGAUUUAUCAUGUGCAAUAUCUCACACAUCUGUCAUUUCUAUUCUACCGCAAUUCGAUGGAGUCUUGUUCUGUGGUCCAGGCUAGAGGGCAGUGGCAUGAUCUCGGCUCACUACAAGCUCUGCCUCCCGGGUUCACGCCAUUCUCCUGCCUCAGCCUCCUGAGUAGCUGGGACUACAGGCGCCCGCCACCACGCCUGGCUAAUUUUUUGUAUAUUUACUAGAGAUGGCUAGUGUUAGCCAAGAUGGUCUCGAUCUCCUGACCUCGUGAUCUGCCCACCUCAGCCUGCCAAAGUGCUGGGAUUACUGGCGUGAGCCACCGUGCCUGGCCAGCAUCCUCUAAUUAUUAUUCAUAGUUUGUGAAUUUAGGCCUACGUGAAUAAUAAUAUAAUAUUUACUAUGAUGUUACUAUCUACCAACCUUAUUUUUCUUUUCUAUAAAAUAGGAGCCAAAAUAAUAUUUAUGUCAUACCUUAUGAAGUUAAAAUAAAAUAUAACGAAUGAGGG
rnacentral:lncRNA from 1 species